rnacentral:lncRNA from 1 species
UCAGUUAAUAUAUUAGCAGGUUUUUUGUUUGCUUAGGUGUGUUUAAAUGAGUUGCUGAAGGACUGGAUUCUCAACUGGAAAUUCCCGUUAGCUUCCAAAGGGUGCUUUUCAGCCUCAUCUGUCCUUUUUGUGGAUAAAAGAAACGUGAAGGUUGCCGCUUACCAGCUCGCUGUUUUGAGGAUAACAAUGGCAUGAUGUGGUGGAUAUUGACUUUCCAAGCUCCUACCUCAGCCUGGAAACAGAAGUUAAGACCCUUGUCUUUUCCUACCUGCAUGCUAGCCAAGCCGUUCCAGGGUACUCCUUUUCUGAGUGAUGAGUUGAGGAAGAGGAGAGCAGGUAUGUUGGAAAGACACUGUCAUGUACUCACUUUUGCGUCCACAUCUGUAACAAAUAUGGCAGCAUCCUGGCUUUGCUGACAGUGGAUCUACCCAACUGAGAAGCUGGAAUUAAGUGUUUCAACCAGACUGUUCCUGUUCCUGUUUCAGUUCUUACACCACCUGCAUCAUCGUAUUAGUUGGGCACCUUUCAG